GUCCCUGUAGCGUAAUAGGUUGCGCGUUGGACUUAUAAUUCAAAGGUCUUGGGUUCGAAUCACACCUGGGAUG